UCCGUUGUAGUCUAGUUGGUUAAUAUACUUGGCUCUCACCCAAGAGACCCAAGUUCAGGUCCUGACAACAUAA
rnacentral:tRNA from 1 species